GACAGAGGGUGCAAACGUUGCUCGGAAUCACUGGGCGUAAAGGGCGUGUAGGCGGGAAGGAAAGUCAGAUGUGAAAUCCCCGGGCUCAACCUGGGAACUGCAUCCGAGACUGCAUUGCUAGAGUAUGGGAGAGGGAAGCGGAAUUUCUGGUGUAGCAGUGAAAUGCGUAGAUAUCAGAAGGAACAUCAGUGGCGAAGGCGGCUUCCUGGACCAAUACUGACGAUCAGGUGCGAAAGCGUGGGGAGCAAACAGG
rnacentral:rRNA from 1 species